CACUGGACGAGAUAAAAUAAUACACGCCAUGAGCAACAUACAAACCAAAACAUAUGAAUGGGAACUAUAUAUAAUUUUGAAUAAGCAAUGUAGGCACUAUGCUGAAUGAAAAGUCUGAAGUAAUUUUUAAGCAGUGCUGUUAAUGGUACUUGACAAACUUGGGCACCAACGACUCUAGGAGCCAAGGCAGAGUCAAUGAAUUAAA
rnacentral:misc_RNA from 1 species